CAAAGUGAAGUUUAUUUCCAAUUUCAUGUUCAAAACGUGUUCUUCCUGGGAACAUUGUUCAUCAUCUUCACAUAACCAAAUGCAAAUAUAAACAAAAAAACUCAAGCAUUUAAAAUCAACACGAAUGAUAGCAAAACAAACUUAGCAUGACAAACAACAACAUCACGAUAAAACAUGAAUGAAGCAUCAAAGCCACAACAAAGAAAAUGAAUCGAGGCAUAACUGAAAACUCAAUCAAAAUAUUACCGCCGUGAGGAAUUGUUGACAGAAAUUAAAAACCAAUAAUCGUGCAGCGUUCCAACAUCGAUUGCACCGGAGCAUCCAUGGCGUUCCAAACCCGUAACCUUGAAGAAUCAAAACUCGCAGCUUACCGAAAUGAAGUCAAAACUGAAGUCGUCGAUUUCCUAUCAACAAUAACAUUUACUCGAAAACAACACGUAAAUGAUUUGUUGUUCGAUGGUUUUAAGAUCAUGGCAGCAAUGUUGAAAAGGCAGUGUUUUGCGAUGUUCUAGGGAAGUUCUGAAACCGUGACAGAGAGGAAGGGUAGUUUUGUGUAUGAAGUGGAGGAGGUGAUGGUUGAGUGGCUGCAGUUUUGAGUUGGUCGGAUGAGGAAGAGAUUAAGGUGGUAGUUACGAGAAAGGGGGAAGAUGAAGGUCAAAGAAACUUAAGUGUGUCAUGGUGGAGGAUCAGUUUCUCAGUCGUGAUGUUGGUGAUGAUGAUGCUUUGAUGAUGAACAAAAUAGAAUUCGGAGAGAGGAGGUGUCAGUUGGCCGAAGGUGAGAACGAAGAAGAGGAACCCGAUGUCACAUCUUGAGGUUUAAGAGUUGACAAGCCUCUCUCUCUCUCUUUCUUAUUUUGCGCUUUUUACUUUUGUUCUCAGACCCCCUUCCUUUUUAAUAAAGGGUAAAGAUGGUGUAAGAGGGGGACGCGUGAGUGACCUUGAUUGGCCAUCUCCAUCCCUUUUUUUAAUUCCAUCAAAUGAUUCUCUCAAAUGCAUGCAUUGUUGUACAUGUUAUUGGUCAAUCCUCUCUCAAUUUCAUCAAGACUUAUAUAAGUAUGACUAAAUUAGGGUUUCCUAUUUUUUACGCAUGUCAAUAUUACCCUUUCUUUAAUACUUAGUGAUAAAAGAAAAAUAAACUAUUUAAAAAUUAAUAAAAAUCAAACACUAGAAAAUAAUUACAAUAAAAUCGAAAUAAAACCAACAUUAAUCAUAUUUAUGUUUUAAGAACUUAUUGACAAAAAAAACAAAAAUAAGAAGAAUCAAAAUUAAUAAAAAUCUAACAAAAAAAUGCUUAAAACAUUUAACUAAAUGAACCAAAAUGCUCAGUGCAAAAUAAACUUCUUGGAAACAUACAGGUUUUUGUUCAAUUUUGAAGUAAAAAAUGUCCGAUUAAAAGGCUCAAGAGGAUCAAAAUAUGACCAAAAAAGUAGCCGGAAAAUAAAACGAGCACACCAAGUUAAACUACGCGGAACGUAGAUUAAUAAAAUUGAUGUUUGCAAGCUCGAAUUUGAAAAUUUUCACCCGCUAAUUUGACACACAUUUGAAAAUUGAUUCAACCGGUCUGUUUGUAGAUCGGAAAAUUUAUUUCGACUGAUAUUUUAGGCAUUAUGCGGCAUGGAAUGAUGUUAUGAUAUGCAGAGAUGCAAAAAGUAUGAUGUAUGCAUCGAUUUGGAGAUUCAGGGUCAAAAUUGGGGUGUCACAUUUGCCCAUAUUUAAGUAUAUUCAACCAGAGGAUAUGAAGAAGAACACUCUUCAUAUGAUCAUAGUGGAAGGUAGUUAAAUACUAAGAAGACCCAAAUUUUGAACCUGAACGCAUAUGACAUGAUAUGAUAUGAUAUGCAUGUAUGCAUGACUCUUUUUUUUCGUUUUGGCUUCCUAGGGAUAUGAUGUGAUAUGAGAUGAACUCAAGCAGGAUGUUUUAUCAUGAAUGAAGAAUGACAGAUGGACCUGUGGGGAUGAUGGGGACACACAGGAAAUAAAAAUGAGGGUAAAGACUCACUAGGGGUAACAAUCCUGUUGGAGAAAAGAUAUUUGGGAAUUGCAAAGGGGCUUUAUCGAUAGGUUCAUACAUGACCUGGCGGCACUGGGGAAUAUUUAGAUUUUUAUCAACAGGUUCAUACAUGACCUGACAAUACUUUAGAAUGUAUCUGACAGUUCUGGAUAUUUCUCACAAGAAAUCCAUCUAAUCAAAGAUUUUGGGAGAUUCCUAACUGGGAAUUUAUCCAAGACAAAAAUAAACGGGAGUCUUCUUAUGAGAAGAACAUCCACGUAAAUCUUUGGAGGUUCUUAAGGGAAAAUUUAACCAAGACAACAAUCGGGAGUCUUCUUAUGAAAAGAUCAUCCAUACAAAAAUAUUGGAGUUUUCUUACGAGAAAAUCAUCCAAUCUUCAAGGGAAUUCCUUUCAAUGAAAGAGUCAAACCGAAAACUUUCUAGGAAACAACUGGACAAAUAGAGCACAGUGAGCGUGCCAUACACAAGGUUGGACUUUCAAAGAUGCCAAUGACAAUUGGACUUAUCACAGAAUACUAGUGACAUCUGGAUUUGGAAAGGUGGCGGCAACAAACGGGCUUCAGGUCAAGGGAUAUAGAAUCAACAACAAGACAUGGGUCAAUGCAAAAUGAACGCGAAGAACUCUUCGGUUAUGCAAUAAUUUAAAUUUACUUUUGUGCAUGAUGUAUGAAUGAUCGUGAUAUGCAAAUGAUGACAUUCAUGAAAUGAAAUGAAAUGAGGCAGGACGAGAUGCAUUUAUUGGUGAAUGGAAAUGCAAGGUGAAAACACUAAGGAGGGAAGUGGUCAACUACUCUGACUACUUACAUAUUAUUCAAGAAUAAUCUUCUAAAGAAAUUCCAUCAGGGAGAACUACUAUCAAGGUUACUUGGGGAAGAUUCAAAAGAAACUCACUAGGGAGUCUACUAUCGAGAGUCACUAGGAGAUACCUACUGUCAAGGUUUUGUUGAGAAAAUACCUAUUGUCGAGGUCUACUGGGAAAUCUUAUGUCGAGAUCAACCAGGGAAUAUAAUGCCAAGAUUUUGUUGGAGGAAAUGUACCUUCUAUUGAGGUUUAACUAGAAAAUCUUAUGUUGAGAUUAACCAAGGAACAUACUGCCAAGAUUCACUUUGAGAGAGAGAUACCUAUUGUUGAGGUCUACUGGGAAAUAUUCUGCCGGGACAAACCAGGGGAAUCUGUUGUCGUGAUUCUUUGCGAAAACACCUUCUGUCAAGGUCUGUUGGGAAAUCUAUUGUCGUGAUUAACCAGGGAAUCUUCUGCCAAGAUUCAAUGAGAAAAAUACCAGAUGCCAAGGUUUAACUGGAAAUCUUCUUUCAAGAUUCACUGAGAAAAAUACUUGUUGUCGAGGUUUAACUAGAAAUCUUCUACCAAGAAUUUGCUGACAAGUGUAAAGUAGUUGACGGUGGUAACAAUGGUUGUCUUCAUAUGUAGAUGAUACAUGGUUACUGUUAUGUUAUGAUUGAACAUGCUUUGAUGUUCAUUUUUAUUUAUGCAUGUAAUGUUAUGAUUACUCGAUGUAGUGCCCCCUCACUCGUGGGUAUACCACACAUGUAAUAAUGCAUGGAAUAUAAUGACUGAUCAAUGCAUGUAUGUAUGCCAAUAAUAAUUAGACUUUGAGAGGUGUCAAGCAAGGUUGGACUUCUAUUGCAGAUGUUUGAUUUUCAAGGCUUCAUGAUAUGGGAAUAUGCCAGAUAAAUGCAAUGAUAUGCAUGGCAUGAUGCUAGAGAGAAGCAAUAUGAUUAUCGCAUGAGAAUGAUUUAUGCAAUGACUCGAAGGCUUCCAAAGAUGCUCAUGUGGUGGGUAUUGGAUGGAAGUUCCCUUUGCAACAAAGCUUCUUUGACAAAAGGCAAAAUUUUAUUUGGCGGGGUGACAGCGAGAUUUCCUGACACUCAUUUUGAACUCAAUGGUUGUUGAUGCAUUGCAGGUUUUCCGCUUGAAAGUAUGGAAAGUACUUAACCUUCGGUAGCUCUGUUGCUCCAGUCUGUUGGGUCUUUGAAGAUGUUCUCCUUAUAAGAAGUUUGGAAGCAGCUAGCCAUGACCUUGAGAUGGCUUACCCCAAUGUUUGAAUCUUUGAAGUAGUUGUUGACUAACCGAACCUUGGAGUGGUAGACUUAUGAUUGUCUGUCCUUUGGGGAGUUGGACACACUGAGCUCCUUAGGUGGUUUAUCCUUGUCUGAGUCUUCUUUCACUUGAUGAAGUUCCUCCACUGACUGCACAUUGUUGGGAUUCCUUUGAUACCAAAUGCUUACUUGCCAAUAAAAUUGUUCAUUCUUAAAUGGUCAUUUUAAUGUAAUGCAAAUGCAAUGUUUGAAAUUAAUCAUCAUUGAAACGAUGGUGAUAUAUAGUGAACGGGUCAAUGAUCAAGACACAAUAUGAAUCUAUCCACUCACAGGGUGGAAGAUGAUGUGAUCAAUACCAAUGAUUAGCAAAGAUCUUUUUGGAGUCAGAUUAAUACAACUUUAUUGUAGCGUGAUUUCAAAAUAAACCAUGCCUCAACUAGGUCUUUUAAGGGUUGUAACAUGGCCUGGUUCAAGGCUUUUGAACAAAAGGAUAUGAGGCUCAAAAACUAAUUUUAACCCACCCCUUCUUCUUGAUGAACUCCAAUCCUACGUUCAAAUAAAUCGACAGACGCAUUCAACUUCCAAGAGGGUUCAAAGGUGUAAGGGGAAGAUGAAGAUCCAAGAUGAGAUUUUCUUGAAAUGGUAGUCACCUUAUUUUGUUUUUUUUUUGUUUUUGUUGAGGAUUUUGAUGACCUCUCUUUGAUUUUUUUUAUCCCUAAUCUUUGAAGUUUUCUCCACUAGGAUGCCCUGAUUUUUUCCUAAGUCGUCUUUCUGGUGUUCGACUUAGCGAGUUUUUUCAUUUUUUCAUUUUUUUGAAAGGUUGUGACUGCCUUAUUAUUAGUUGUUGAGGAACAACCACUACAAACCUUUUGGCUCUUAUCAACUUCUUUGACACUUCAAUAUGUGUGUGAAGAGUAGCAUGUGGUUGAUCCUCUUUAGAGGGUGUACAUAUGGAUGGAUUCUCUUUGGAGAUUGAUCGCACUGUCAAACUAUCUGAACACAACUACCUUGCCCUUUGUUAAGAUUAAUGGUUUUAAUUCCGAAAGAAACACCAACUUUUAGGCUCAAAGUGGUUGACUAGGGAUUAACUCCUUAUCUCUUCAAUGUUUGAGGAUUUGAAACAAUGCCUUACAUCAUCGGCAAAGUUUUCUUUGAAAGUACACCACAACAAUCAUGGAUAAUUAGUUUCAUCAUCCUCCCUCAAAUCUUUUCUAAAUAACAGUUUGAAAAAGAAAUUGAAUGGGAAAAAAAUUGUUUUUUUAUGUAGAUGGAAAAUGACUGAAUAUGAAUGGAUUGAUUCAAAAUGCAUGAUCACUUCAUUAAUAUUACCAUUAAAAUAAAACAACAAUGUUUAAAAGCAAACAAUGUUUAACAUGCAAAGAAAAUGCAAAUGAAAUGUUGAAAUAUCCAAAUGAUUGCCAGCUAUGAGGACAAUUUUUCUCUUGACUGUUGGCUCUAGGAAAUUCCUUCUAGGUCUUCACUCUUAUUAGGGUAAUGGACCUCUCACCAUAUUAGGGCCAUCAGAAGUCAAUUGUCCUUUGUUGAUCAUGUGUUGCACUUCUUCUUGGAAGACCUUACACUCUUCGAUUGAGUGCCCCACUACUCCAUCAUGAAACUCACAUUGGACAUCUGGGUUGUGCCAAGGAGGGAAUAGAAACUUUAUGGAUUUGUUCUCUCUAGGAGCUAUUGACGAGCUUUGGACCAACUAAGACCAUAAUUGACUAUACGUCAUUGGGAUUGGGUCAAUUUGGAGAGUCUCCCUUUCUUGUCGGUCUGGAUGUACACAUUGAUUCUGAUGUCGAUGUUGAUGUUGAUAUUGACGCAGGACCUAAGAUGGUUGAUUCGGUGGACCUUGCCACGAUUGCUGGUACUGAGAACCAGGAGGUAUUGGUUGAUGGCAUUGAACAACCGCUGCAUAUGAAUGAUGAUAAUAUGGCACCAGAGAUGGAGCUUGCGGAUCCUGGUGAGUUUCUCAUAUUGCAUUAGCUUCUUCCUUUUCCUCUUAGGAACUGACAAGAGAUCACUUUCAAUGCCCUGGAUACUUGAGGUGCUUCGGUGUCUUCCACGUUUAAGGUCGAUCUCGAUGCGUUCUCCAACUUUCACCAGGUCAGAGAAACCUAAUGAAGCAUUGCCUAUCAUUCUUCCAAAAUAUGAACUUGGCGGGGUAUCCAUAAAUAAGUCAACCAUUUAUUUAUCAAGAAGUAGUGGCUGAACACGAGUUGCCAACUCUCUCCAUCUUUUGGCAUAUCCUUUGAAGGAUUUGCUGCUCUCUUAAGAUAACCCUUGCAACGGUAUGCGAUUGGGAGCCAUGUCCAAGUUGUAUUGGUAAUGCUUAAGGAAUUCCAUAGCCAAGUCUUUCCAAGUGUGGGUGUGUCUCUGCUUUAGUUGCAUAUAUCAUUCAAAUGACGCUCCACUGAGACUAUCUUGAAAAUAGUGGAUGAGCAACUUGUCGUUGCGAGAAUACCCAACCAUCUUUCGACAAUACAUUGUCAAAUGAAUCUUUGGGUAGUUAAUCCCCUUGUACUUUUCAAAAUAUGGUGUUUUUAACUUUGGAGGUAUUAUCACAUCCGACAUUAAGCAUAUGUCUAAAGCGUCCAGAUCAAAAGCAGCAGUCCCUUAUAUGGCUUUGAGUCUUUCUUCCAACACGCGGUGCUUUUCAUCAAUCUCAACAACUAAAGGGUCUUUGAUUUUCCUCACCGGGAUUUUCCCUUGGGAAUUUGGCUCGGAGAAUGCAAAGUUAUGGUACUCAACAACAUCAUGAGGUGGAGAAUUUCCAUCCCGGACAAUGAGAUGCUCUUGUAUAGCAAGGUUCUCAACAGGGUUCCUCACAUACUGAGGCUGAGCUUUAUCGUUCACUAGAGGUGGAAUGAAAUUCUUAGUGACGGAAGUCUGUUGAACAUUGUCCUCUCUCUUUGCCAAAGUUAUUAUAGCCUCUAUGAGUUGGAUUUGUAUAACAGGGUUCUCAUCGGGUAUCAUCUAAGGUUUGUAAACGGAAAUUCCAUAGUCAUAGAUCCACAAGAAUGUUUGCUGCUUACGUCAACUACAUGUCGAUCGUCAACUCCAUCAAGGGAAUCUAUUCUAAGUAAGGUUUUUUGUGUCGACCCUUACGAGAACUACAUAUCGGGGACCCGCACUACGCAACUAUCGACUUUGGUUCUAGACGUGGUUCCCAGAGUCACUGUUUCGUAAGAAUGUUUGCUGCUUAUGGCAACUGCAUGUUAGGCAUCAAAUUCAUCAAGAGAAUCUAUUCUGAGUGAGGUCUUCGUACCGACCCAUACGAGAACUGCAUCUCAGGGACCCGCACUACGCGACCAUCAUCUUUGUUGGCCAAAAUGUUUAAUAUUCUAAAAAGGUCCUUAGAAUCAUGGAUCCUCACAAAAACAUCGAUGUUGACGACAACUACAUGUCGUGCGACAACAUUUCCAAAGAAUUUACUCUAAGUGAGGUUCUUGUGCCGAUCCUUACGAUAACUACAUCUUGGGGACCCAAAACAAGUGGAGAAUGGAAUGUUUGCAUCACAACUGAAUGGAUUUAUAAAUCAACAUUCAUGGGAAACGUCGCAAGUUUACUCAUACGUUCAAGUGGACGAAACAUUGUUCUUGCAUCAUCUUGAACAAAGUACCUUUUGUUUACAAGAAGGGUUUGAGGAUCAAUCACAUGAUGGCGAGAAAAGAGUUUGAUUGGUUGAAUGUGUUUUGGAAAAUGGUGAGAACUUAGAUGGGUGAGUUGUCCAUCUCGAAUCCUAGCCUUAAGAGCUUGUGGUAUCCACCAUGUUUCGUUUCCAUCUUAUUUGCAAAAAGGUUUUAUAUUUCUUGGAUGUUUUAAGAUUGAUUGAGAAAGGUUUGAAGAAGUCGCAUUGACAAUUUUAAAUGAUGGUGAGAGCUAGGAUUGACGAGAUAUCCAUCUCGAAUAUUAGCCUCUAGAACUCGUGGUAUCCACCACGUUCCAUUUCCAUAUUUAUUGAAAAGUGUUAAAUAAUCAUUAAUUUUAUUUUUAUUUUUAUUUUUAUUAUGAAAAUGACUUUACAUUGAAUCAAGCAUUUGAUUAACGAUUGCGAAAAGGUUUGAUAAAAUGGGUUUGAAAGUUGACAAAUGGUGGAAGAUGAAAUGUUUGAGAAUUUUGGAAUGGAAUGAAAUGGAUUGAAAAGAAAGUUUUUAAAUGGAUGAGUUUUGGUCUUUGAGAAAAUACUCGACGUUGGAUCGAGUUUUUAUUUUUGUUCUUUUUGAAAGGGGUUGAUUUUAUUCUUGUGUUAGAAACUACCUAAACAAAGCAAUAAAAAAUAAAGCAAUAAAUUAUUACACAUCAUAGGAAUGGGGGUACAUAUGUCAAAUGGAAGUAUGAGAUAAUGAAUCGAUUAAAGAAAAACUCAAUCAAACAAACACAAGCAAGUGAGUGUAUGUGCACAAAAAAGGUCUCAUUGUAAGAAGGUCCAAGAGCAAGCCAAAUGAUAGGAGAUAGCAACACAAACGACAUAUGCACAACACACGUUCAUUGUAAUUAAAUCGAAAUAAGUAAAAACAAAAAUGAAACAUGCACGAAUCAAAAUCAUGUUUCAUAUAGGUGAAUCAAUGUCAUAUAAUGUAAGGGCGUGCAAGGCAAAUGGAAACUGAGUUCAAAUUCGAUUUAAACAGUAAUGGCGUUGGAUUAUUGUUUAUUAUCAUGAAUCAAAAGAAAUGUUAAUGUGAAACGUAUCAUUGCAACAUGGAAUGGAAAGGAAUGAACUCAUACACUGACAAAUUAAAUCGUAAAGUGAGGUUUAAUGUACACAUUGGCAAAGUAGACAGUAUUAAACCUGAGAUGAAGUAAACCUCACAAUUGUCAUUUAAAAUAAGCGAAAAGUCAAGAAAUACACACAAAACUAUAGUUAAUGUGCUCAAACUCGGUUUGUGUGUAUCGACAACAAAUAAAACAUUGUAUGCAAAGGUCAUAACGCGAAGAAAUACAAUUAAUAUAUUGAUGAAAAUUCGGCGGCAUAACGACAUGACAAUAUAGGAUUCGCAGAUUAAAAAUCUGAUUUUUAACACAAUGAAGUAGAUCAUACAAACAGCUCACACAUGCAUUAUUAUUGUUAUAAAUGAAUAACAACCAUCGUAAUCGAGAUGAGAAAGACGAUUUAUCGGAAUCAUAUGAAAUAUAGCAUCCAUUGUAUGGUGUAAAAAGAAGAAGAAAAAAACUACAUGGGCUCACUCAAAAAUCAACACUAAGCCCAAAAGCAUCAAAACCAACCUUUUUUACAUUUUCCAUUAGUAAAGUAAAUUAAACAAAAACAUGAAAUUAAAAAAACUACAGCAUUUGAAAAAAAAUUGACUAAAAGAAUGCAACUAAAGUUAAGCUUAUUUCCAAUUUCAUGUUCAAAACGUGUUCUUCUUGGGAACACUGUUCAUCAUAUUCACAUAACCAAAUGCAAAUAUAAACAAAAAAUACUCACGCAUUUGAAAUUAAAAUGAAUGAUAGCAAAACAAACUUAGCAUGACAAAUAGCAACAUCACCAUAAAACAUGACUGAAGCACCGAAGCCACGACAAAGAAAAUGAAUUAAGGUGUUGUCAUACCCCAAAAUCUACCCCCAUUUUUGCUUUUUUACCUAAACCAUGAUUUGAGAUCCAUACAUACUCAUGCAUACUCAUCAUCCAUUCACGAUUAACACUUACUAACAAGUGUCAUGGAUUCAAGGUUCAUGGUUGACAAAAUCAGACACUUGGUUGGAGGAUCAUGGUAUUGCUCAUUAUGAGGGUGGUAACUCUAAUCCUCGACCCUGCCUCUAUGGGAGCUUGUGGUUGGCUUAUGUACAGGAGCUAAACCCUGAUUGAGACCUAUGGUUUGAGAUGUUGUGGGUGGAGAUUUGUUCUUGAUUUGAAACCUAAUCAGGGAUGGUUGUUGUUCAAAUGCCUUGAUUGGUAGACUUUUGGAUUGGUGAUUAAUCAAGACCCUGGUUGGUAGACGCUUGAGGCCUCGGAGCUUGGAUUUUGGAGUUCAAUCCACAUGGAACCCUAGAUUGUUGGUCCAUAAGGGUUGUGAGCGUCAUUUCUUGGUGUAUGCUUAAAACCUUGAUCAGAUGUGCUUGAAGUUGUUAGUUUGGUUUGAGGAUUGUAAAACCUUAGCUCAUGGGAAGGAUUGUUUGGUCAUUAUGAUAUGCACCAUGUCAUUCAUUAAGUUCACUAGAGGAUUAUGGUUUCAAAGUACUGAUGGUUCAAGUCCUCACGAGGAGCUUUCAAAACUCAUGUAUUGGUUUGAAGGAUCAUGGUGCAUCCAAGCUUCUCAUGCUUCAUUCAUGAUUGAUGCAUUGAUAAAGGCUUUAUGGUGCCCACGGGACCGUCGAUCUAAGUUGAUUUCAAACCACAUUUUUGAAAAUACAAGUUUCAUUAAUACCAUUCACACUCAAAUUCAUUUUCACUUCAAAUAUCAAGCAUCACACCACAAAAUCCUCACAAAAAUCCGAUUCUAUACAACAACAAAAUAUAUAUAUAUAUAUAUAUAAUUUUUUACCCGAGUUGACUUUUGGUCAACCUUUGACUUUUUGAUCAACGGUUGACCAAAGUCAACUGACCAAGAGUUUUCAUCAGAACCAAAUUUCUUCCAAUUCACAUUCAAUAGUUUCAUUCAAUUCAAAACAUUGCCAUGUUCAUCAAAAAGCCCAAAUUACAAUUCCUAACAUUACAUCCUAAUUCCCAAAUUACAACACGACAAAAUGGUCAAAAGCCCCUCGAGAAUCCUUUUCAUCCCAAUUCAUUAUACUGACCAAAGUGAUGGCGAAAACCGCUUUUGCUGAUAUUAUGUGUGUUGGACAGAGGUUUGUUCGCGAAAUUUACCGGCAUGGCAGUCUGUUGUUAAGCCAACAGCAUUCUGCAUAAACCAUCAAAGCAUGUUAAGAACCUGCAAGUCACCAAAACAAACACAAAUGGUCCUAAACCCAGCAUAAUAUUCCUGCUGCUAUAGCUUUCCUGAUGCCAUAAUAUUCCUACUUCCAUAACAGUACAACAUCGGCCAUAAUCAAGUGCAGCAGACCGACAAAGCAUGGUAGAACCCUGCAUCACAGCAACCAAUUCAUACGGCAACACGAACAGAAGCCAACACACUCGCAUCUAAAACUGCAUCACUUGUCACCCUUCAGAAUUAAUGGAUUGGGCAGCAGUUAAUUGAAGCAUACCACAAUGAAAAUCGAAGUCUGCAUCAAAACAUUGUGACCAUACAUGUGCAAAGCAAAUGACCGACAGGCUAAUUUAUGAUGAGCAUGCUGAGAAUGGCCUGAAGUUCACUAUUGUGAGAUCUUAUAACUGGAUUGGACCAACAAUGGACUUCAUUCCUGGUGUGCAUGGCCCGAGUGAUGGUGUCCCCGGAGUUUUAACUUGUUUCAGUAAUAAUCUCCUUCGUGGUGAGCCGCUCAAGCUUGUUGAUGGCGGACGUUCCCAGAGAACCUUUCUUUAUGUCAAAGAUGCAAUUGAGGUUGUUUUGUUAAUGAUUGAUAACCCUAAUAGAGCAAAUGGACACAUCUUUAAUGUGGUAAACCCGGACAAUGGAGUAUCUGUGAAGCAGCUAGCUGAGCUUAUGAUAAAGGUAUAUGCAAAGGUGGAUGAUGUACCUGCCUCUAGUCUAUCAACUCUGGAUGUGACUUCAGAGGAUUUCUAUGGAAAAGGAUAUGAUGACAGUGAUAGGCGCAUCCCUGACAUGACAAUUAUCACUAAGCAGCUUGGUUGGAAGCCAAGGACAUCACUUGAUGAACUGGUGGAUUCUACCAUUCAAUAUCAACAUCAGACAUAUUCUCAUGCUAUCAAGAAAGAACAACUCCAAAACUGGUGAUUGCACCAUCGAGAGUAAGCUCUAGAUCCACAUCCCCUUUCUCUAGAAGACCAAGCCCUCCUCGUCCAAGUACGCCUAUUCCAACAAUGUCGGGACUUUCGUUCUCCAAAAAUACUGCAGUUGGUUUGAAGAAAACAAACAAAUAUUUAAAUCAAGAAGUGCAGAAGUUAUGAAACAAAGAUGUAAACUGUAAUAAUUAGAACUUCAAAGGUAAGCAAAAAGGGAUAACAAAGCAAUUGGAAAAAACCUUCAAACGACGGAACCGAUUCAAAGGCCAUGUCCAAUUCUGCAUCACACCUGCAAGUGCAAACCAAACGAUCUGCAUGGUGCUGAAUGGUUUUCAAAAGCAACUGUAAAGAGGUUCCCGCAUGUUGUUGGUGUCACCAAUUUAGAGCAUUUUUCAUGAAAACUGAACCAAGUAAGACAGGAUGCUGAUGAAACUACCAUGCUCACGUGUGAUGUAACUCAUGUGCUGCAUAGUGAUGUAAGCAAAGAAUUUAAAAACCUGCAAACCAACAGAACCUGUAGAAACUCAGAAGUCGUUCAGAAACCGAAAUCACAAGAGCUCUGAACCCUAGUGUGAAGGUUAAGACGAUUAUCGGUGAUCAGCUCGCCAUUACCAAGAAAACUGGUCGGAAGCUUGGGAUUGAAACAAACAUGUAUCCAUCUUCGUCAUUACUCGGUCAAAGCAGAAGAGGGUGCUGCUGUUACAGCUCUUCCAGUAGAUGAGCAGAUCGAGAAGGCUGAUGGAUUUGCUGGGGUAUUUCCUGAGCACAAGUACGAGAUUGUGAAAUGCUUGCAGGCUAGGAAACAUAUUUGCGGAAUGACCGGUUAUGGAGUGAAUAUGAACCUGCUCUUAGAAGGCUGACAUUGGUAGUUGUUGGCAGAUGCACUCUCAUGCAGCUCGAAGUGCAUCAGAUAUUAUUUGAACCGAACCUGGCCUUAGGGUUACAAUAAGUGUUGUUUUUCAAAGAUAAAGAAUUAUGUGACUUAUGCAGUCUCAAUUACACUUUGUAUUGUACGAAAGUUCGACUUUCCGCCCCUUAUGGUACUUAUUAUUAUCAUGCUGAAUGAUGGUACCAUUAUCCACUACCAAACAGUGGGAAACUGAAGGAAACAUUUGCUAUCGGUGUUGUGUUAGGCCACUACAUAGCAUCAUAGCGGUUACGACGUGACCAAACCAUUCAGCCUGCAAUAUGCGUGACAAGAUAACAUCCACCUGCAAAAGCCAAUCUUAGUCUGCAGCCUAGCCAACACAGUCUAUUUCCAUCCAACAAGCAGGUCAUGUGUUAACACCCUAUAACAGAACUGGCAACCUGAUAUUAAAUAUUGAAUUAUCCUGGAGUCAUCAAACUCUGCUGUCACAACCGAGCUCGGCAGUGCCGUAUGCAGCAGGCCAACAACGGCAGCAAAACCUGCGGAACUUGUAUGCAGCAAACCUUUCGUCAUCUACGGCAGUGCAACAAUAAAUUCAUUCAAGUUAAAUCCAUACAGUGACAUGUAACCAAUGCGACUAACUAUCGAAAGACUUUAACUUCCAACUGACCCUCCCCAUUUCAAAACCAGUACCAACCACUACUGGCACUAGCGCCGAGAUUCUUCGGGAAUUAGCGAUAAGGAGAGAAUGCAUUUGAGGCAGAAGUUGUUGAUGCAUUUGAGAGAAGAGGGUGAAGAGAUUCUUCGGGAAUUAGCGAUAAGGAGAGAAUGCAUUUGAGGCAGAAGUUGUUGAUGCAUUUGAGAGAAGAGGGUGAUCAGAUAGCUCCAAUGGUUGUUGUGCUAAUAUCCAAGAUUGCUCACAGUGAUUAUCACAAAGAGGGGCCAGACAUCUCUUUGGUUUUAUCACAAUAACUCCAAUCAGCAGAUGUAUAAUAGCCAAAAUCUCGCCUGCAUCACCCAUGAAGCAUCAGUAUGUAGAUUAAUACAUCACAUGAACAAUAUAAAAGCAUCCAAACAUAACAACUAACCAACUAACGGAAUAUCUCAUUUGCACCGCAUGAAUCAGUUAACUAGCAGUAAAUCUUUUACCAUUUUACUAAUUUCAUUAACCACCACACUUCAACUAAUAUAACUCAUUUUUCACUAACAAACAUAACUAAUUUCUCUAACUAAUUUCUAACUGAACAAUUAACAUAACUUUAACAUCUAACUGACUUCCAUUGCAAUUUCACUAACAGUGUGAACUUCCCUAACGGGGCUACCCGAGCUGCCCGAUUCAGUUAGUCCCUCCUCAACUCUAUAAAUUCAUCUUUCACCCUCAUUCACAAUUUUGAUGCGUGAUUAUGAAAAUUCAUCCCCAUUCCUCACUAUACGCUCUCAAUUACCGUAAUUAUUAGAGCUUCAACAUCAAAAGCUCUAACAAGUUGAGCUUCAACCUUCAUCACCCUCUCCGUUGCAACAAAUCGCACACGCCUCUCAAGAAGAAGCCAAUCCUACAGACUAGAGAUUGGAGAAGAAGAAGAAGGUAGAAAUAGAAGAGGAUUCGAAGAGUAAGAAAGAGAGAGAGGAGACUCACCUGAACUCCGGUCACCACCACGUCGUCGUCGCCGGUGAGUAUUCCAUUUCCAUCGCCGUUUGCUCCAAUCUCUUUACCAAAAUGUAGGUCUCAGCUAGAGAGAUCGAAGCCCCAAUCCCGGGGGCCUCGAUUCCAAGAGGCCUCAAUUUAAUUUCACAUUUGGUUUCUAGGGUUCAUGUGUAAUCUGCUUCGAUCCAUUGAAUUGGUGGAGGUUUGUGAAACUUGGACUUUAGGUUCGGAAUCAUGGCCAUGAGAUGAAGACGAGGGUAUGUUGAUUUCAUAGUUUAGGCCUCCGCCGCCGCCGGAGGCGACCUCUGACGCGGCGGAGGAGAGUGUCUCAGGUGGGAGGGAAAAGUGAGCAUUUGAUUUGUUUCCCUGAAGGCUCUGGCGCCAAACUGGGUUCAUCUCCUUUCUUGUGGUUUGGGCCUUCCUUCCCCUGGGCCCAUACUUUCACUUGUUGCACCCUUUAGUCAUUUCCAUCAUCCCCCAAUUCGGGUCUACACCUCCAGCGGAUUAAAGGUACAUUGUCCCUUUUUGUUUUGUUUAAUUAGAUUUAGUUUUUGUAUUAGUUAAUGGUAGGCUUAAUCAAAUUUUAAUUAGGAUUAGUGGAAUGAACUACUGAUUAGAAGAAUUAUAUUUUAGGAUUUGAAAUUUGAUUAGUUUCUUAAUUAGAUUUUAAUUAGAAUUUAAUUAGGUUUAAAUCUUGAUUUUGAUUAGUAUUAUCAGAGUUUUAGGGAUAUUCUUGAUUUUUAUUGGAUUAAUAGAUUUUAAUUUUGAUUAGAGAUUAAUUAGUUUAGUUAGUUGUUUAGGAGUAGAAUUAAUUGAGACUAAUUUGGAUUUUCAUUAUUAGAAUCUUAAUUCAACAUUCAUAAAAUUGUUAAAUGACUGUUUUGCCCCUAGAUGUAGAAAUAGUCUAAUUUUACAUGUUCCCCUAGUUUUAGGACGUAGAAAAUAGUUCCAAAUAAACAAUAACCCUUUAGGUAGUUGUACACUCACUUCAACUAGUUUUUCCCCAUUGAUUAAGUUGAUCAAAGUACGCUUUGAUCGACUAAAUCCUUUAGUUGUGCUUAAUUCCCCGAGCUUAGUCAAGUGAUCAAAAGACCCUUGAUCAUUUGAUAAAGCAAGUCCUUGUGAUCAAGGUGUGCUGGAUACUGGAUCUCUAAACUUAAAUCAAGAUCAAGAUCAAGAGUUCAAGCUACUCAAAUCAGUACGAGACAGGACUACUAUUCAAGCACUACAAAGGUCAAAAUUAACCCUUGUUAAUCAUGAGCCAAGUUAUGUGCCAUGAGUCUUAAGUAAUAGAGAAGGAAUGGGACUGGAGAAUUCCUACCCCUAUUCUGAAUAUAUUUGGAUGCGGUACGAAUGACUCAAUUGCUCAUUGUGUUCACCUCUAUUCAUAGGCUUUAGCACAACUCGAUUCAAGUUGAUUGACAAGCCUAUUCAUUUUUCAAAGAUAACCCUUCAUCACAAGAAGCUGCAAGGAAACUCAAAUUCAACACUCAUCGAUUUUGAUGCAAAUUGCACAUCAUAAGCCUUAAGUAGUAGAGAAGGAAUGAGACUGGAUAAUUCUUACCCCCAUUCUGAAUAUCUUUAGGUACGGGGGGAAUGACCCAAUUGCUCACUGUAUUAAUCUCUAUUCAUAGACUUUAGUGCAAUUUAAAUCGAAUAAUUGACAAGUCUUUCUACACAGGCGUGAAGAUCAGAACUGAAGAUCGGACUUCAAUCUUCCAGGGUUUCACUUUCUAUCCUCAUGUUCUCCCAGUAAACCUAAAACCAUUUUGUGAAUAAAAUCAAAAAGAAAUUAACCCUAUGAUUAGGAUUGUACGAUACGAGCCUUAAACAAUGGAGAAGGAAUGGGAUUGGAGAAUUCCUACCCCCAUUCUAGAUAUCUUUGGGUGCGGGACGAAUGACCCAGUUGCUCAUUAUAUUCAUCUCCAUUCAUAGACUUUAGUAUGAUUCGAAUCAUGACUCAAUUCUGUUGUAUCUUUGAGUGUGCGAUGUGCUCGGGUAUUUUUAGCGUAGCUUCAGGUGUAACCAAAAACUCAAUCAAAAUAUUACUUCCGUGAGGAAUCAUUGACACAAAUUAAAAACCAACAAUCGUAAAAUGUUCUAACAUCAAUCGCACCGGAGCAUCCAUGGCGUUCGAAAUCCACAACCUUGAAGAAUCAAAACUCGUAGCUUACCGAAAUGAAGUCGAAAGUCGUCGAUUUCCUGUCAACAAUAACAUUUACUCGAAAACAACACGUAAAUGAUCUGUUGUUCGAUGCUUUUAAGAUGAUGGCGGUAAUGUUGAAAUGGUGGUGUUUCGCGGUGUUAUAUGGUAAUUCUGAAACCACGGCGGAGAGGAAGGGUGGCUUUGUGUAUGAAAUGGCGGAGGUGAUGGUUGAGCGGAUGCAGUUUUGAGGUGAUCGGGGGAGUAAGAGAUUAGGGUGGUCGUUAUGUGAAGGGGAGAAGAUGAAGGUGGAAGAAACUUGAGGGUGUCAUGGUGGAGGAUCUUUUUCUGAGUCGUGAUGUUGGUGAUGAUGAUACUUUGAUUAUGAACAUAAUAUAAGUCGAAGAGAGGAGGUGUUGGUUGGUCGGCGGUGAGAACAAAGAAGAGGAAC
rnacentral:lncRNA from 1 species